GGGGACGUAGCUCAGUUGGGAGAGCGCGGGCUUUGCAAGCCUGAGGUCGUGGGUUCGACCCCCAUCGUCUCCACCA
rnacentral:tRNA from 5 species